rnacentral:rRNA from 1 species
UUAAGUGACUAAGCGUACACGGUGGAUGCCUAGGCAGUCAGAGGCGAUGAAGGGCGUGCUAAUCUGCGAAAAGCGUCGGUAAGGUGAUAUGAACCGUUAUAACCGGCGAUACCCGAAUGGGGAAACCCAGUGUGUUUCGACACACUAUCAUGUCAUGAAUACAUAGUGGCAUGAGGCGAACCGGGGGAACUGAAACAUCUAAGUACCCCGAGGAAAAGAAAUCAACCGAGAUUCCCCCAGUAGCGGCGAGCGAACGGGGAGGAGCCCAGAACCUGAAUCGGCUUGUGUGUUAGUGGAAGCGUCUGGAAAGUCGCGCAGCAAAGGGUGAUAGCCCCGUACACUAAAAUGCACAGGUCGUGAGUUCGAUGAGUAGGGCGGGACACGUGACAUCCUGUCUGAAUAUGGGGGGACCAUCCUCCAAGGCUAAAUACUCCUGACUGACCGAUAGUGAACCAGUACCGUGAGGGAAAGGCGAAAAGAACCCCGGCGAGGGGAGUGAAAUAGAACCUGAAACCGUGUACGUACAAGCAGUGGGAGCACCUUCGUGGUGUGACUGCGUACCUUUUGUAUAAUGGGUCAGCGACUUAUAUUUUGUAGCAAGGUUAACCGUAUAGGGGAGCCGUAGGGAAACCGAGUCUUAACUGGGCGAAUAGUUGCAAGGUAUAGACCCGAAACCCGGUGAUCUAGCCAUGGGCAGGUUGAAGGUUGGGUAACACUAACUGGAGGACCGAACCGACUAAUGUUGAAAAAUUAGCGGAUGACUUGUGGCUGGGGGUGAAAGGCCAAUCAAACCGGGAGAUAGCUGGUUCUCCCCGAAAGCUAUUUAGGUAGCGCCUCGUGAACUCAUCUUCGGGGGUAGAGCACUGUUUCGGCUAGGGGGCCAUCCCGGCUUACCAAACCGAUGCAAACUCCGAAUACCGAAGAAUGUUAUCACGGGAGACACACGGCGGGUGCUAACGUCCGUCGUGAAGAGGGAAACAACCCAGACCGCCAGCUAAGGUCCCAAAGUCAUGGUUAAGUGGGAAACGAUGUGGGAAGGCACAGACAGCCAGGAUGUUGGCUUAGAAGCAGCCAUCAUUUAAAGAAAGCGUAAUAGCUCACUGGUCGAGUCGGCCUGCGCGGAAGAUGUAACGGGGCUAAACCAUGCACCGAAGCUGCGGCAGCGACGCUUAGGCGUUGUUGGGUAGGGGAGCGUUCUGUAAGCCGUUGAAGGUGGCCUGUGAGGGUUGCUGGAGGUAUCAGAAGUGCGAAUGCUGACAUAAGUAACGAUAAAGCGGGUGAAAAGCCCGCUCGCCGGAAGACCAAGGGUUCCUGUCCAACGUUAAUCGGGGCAGGGUGAGUCGACCCCUAAGGCGAGGCUGAAAAGCGUAGUCGAUGGGAAACAGGUUAAUAUUCCUGUACUUGGUGUUACUGCGAAGGGGGGACGGAGAAGGCUAGGCUAGCCGGGCGACGGUUGUCCCGGUUUAAGCGUGUAGGGGGUGUGACCUGGUAAAUCCGGUUGCAUAUCAACCCUGAGGCGUGAUGACGAUGCACUACGGUGCAGAAGUAGUUGAUGCCCUGCUUCCAGGAAAAUCCUCUAAGCUCCAGGUAACAUUAAAUCGUACCCCAAACCGACACAGGUGGUCAGGUAGAGAAUACCAAGGCGCUUGAGAGAACUCGGGUGAAGGAACUAGGCAAAAUGGUGCCGUAACUUCGGGAGAAGGCACGCUGGCAUGUAGGUGAAGUCCCUUGCGGAUGGAGCUGAAGCCAGUCGAAGAUACCAGCUGGCUGCAACUGUUUAAUAAAAACACAGCACUGUGCAAACACGAAAGUGGACGUAUACGGUGUGACGCCUGCCCGGUGCUGGAAGGUUAAUUGAUGGGGUCAGCCGCAAGGCGAAGCUCUUGAUCGAAGCCCCAGUAAACGGCGGCCGUAACUAUAACGGUCCUAAGGUAGCGAAAUUCCUUGUCGGGUAAGUUCCGACCUGCACGAAUGGCGUAAUGAUGGCCAGGCUGUCUCCACCCGAGACUCAGUGAAAUUGAACUCGCUGUGAAGAUGCAGUGUACCCGCGGCAAGACGGAAAGACCCCGUGAACCUUUACUAUAGCUUGACACUGAACAUUGAGCCUUGAUGUGUAGGAUAGGUGGGAGGCUUUGAAGCGUGGACGCCAGUCUGCGUGGAGCCAUCCUUGAAAUACCACCCUUUAAUGUUUGAUGUUCUAACUCGGCCCCGUGAUCCGGGGUGAGGACAGUGUCUGGUGGGUAGUUUGACUGGGGCGGUCUCCUCCCAAAGAGUAACGGAGGAGCACGAAGGUUAGCUAAUCACGGUCGGACAUCGUGAGGUUAGUGCAAAGGCAUAAGCUAGCUUGACUGCGAGAGUGACGGCUCGAGCAGGUACGAAAGUAGGUCUUAGUGAUCCGGUGGUUCUGAAUGGAAGGGCCAUCGCUCAACGGAUAAAAGGUACUCCGGGGAUAACAGGCUGAUACCGCCCAAGAGUUCAUAUCGACGGCGGUGUUUGGCACCUCGAUGUCGGCUCAUCACAUCCUGGGGCUGAAGUAGGUCCCAAGGGUAUGGCUGUUCGCCAUUUAAAGUGGUACGCGAGCUGGGUUUAGAACGUCGUGAGACAGUUCGGUCCCUAUCUGCCGUGGGCGUUGGAAGAUUGAGAGGGGUUGCUCCUAGUACGAGAGGACCGGAGUGAACGCACCACUGGUGUUCGGGUUGUCAUGCCAAUGGCAUUGCCCGGUAGCUAAGUGCGGAAAAGAUAAGCGCUGAAAGCAUCUAAGCGCGAAACUUGCCUCAAGAUGAGUCUUCCCUGGGCCUUUAAGGCCCCUGAAGGAACGUUUAAGACUAAGACGUUGAUAGGCUGGGUGUGUAAGUGCAGCGAUGCAUUGAGCUAACCAGUACUAAUGAUCCGUGAGGCUUAACCUU